rnacentral:rRNA from 1 species
CCUACGGGGGGCAGCAGUGAGGAAUAUUGGUCAAUGGGCGGGAGCCUGAACCAGCCAAGUCGCGUGAGGGAAGACGGUCCUAUGGAUUGUAAACCUCUUUAGUCGGGGAGCAAUGCCGGGCACGCGUGCCCGGAGGGAGAGUACCCGCAGAAUAAGCAUCGGCUAACUCCGUGCCAGCAGCCGCGGUAAUACGGAGGAUGCGAGCGUUAUCCGGAUUUAUUGGGUUUAAAGGGUGCGCAGGCGGAGGUGCAAGUUAGUAGCGUAAUUCCGGGGCUCAACUUCGGAACUACUACUAAAACUGCUGGGCUUGAGUGCAGGAGGGGCAGAUGGAAUUCCUAGUGUAGCGGUGGAAUGCGUAGAUAUUAGGAGGAACACCAGUGGCGAAGGCGAUAUGCUGGACUGUAACUGACACUGAGGCACGAAAGCGUGGGGAGCAAACAGGAUUAGAUACCCCUGUAGUC